rnacentral:rRNA from 1 species
UCCAGCAGUCGCGGUUAUACAAAAAAUAUAAUUUAACUAUAUUAAUAUCAAUUAAUUUGUUUAAUAUUUUAUUGUGAAAUUUAUUAAGUGAAAUUUUAAAUUUUAUAGAUAUUUUAUAGUUAAUGAUUUUGAGAAAAUUAAUUAAUAAACUAGGAUUAGAUACCCUAUUAUUUUAAUCGUAAAUACAUUAUUAAAUUAUUAAUAGUUAUAUUCUUGAAAAUUAAAAAAUUUGGCGGUAUUUUAAUCUUUUCAGAGGAACCUGUUCUAUAAAUGAUAAUCCACGAUAAAAUUUACUUUUUUUAUAAGUUUAUAUAUCAUCGUAAUAAAAUAUUUUUGAAGAAUUUUAAUAUUUAUAAUUUUUUAUUAAAAAAUAUAUCAGAUCAAGGUGUAGUUUAUAAAAAAGUAGAAAUGGGUUACAAUAUAUUUUAUUAUUUGAAUUAUUUUUAUUAAGAAAAUAUGAAAAUGGAUUUGAAAGUAAAUUUAAUUUAUUAGUAAAUGAUUAGGAGC